AGUGAACGCUGGCGGUAGGCCUAACACAUGCAAGUCGAACGGCAGCACAGGAGAGCUUGCUCUCUGGGUGGCGAGUGGCAGACGGGUGAGGAAUACAUCGGAAUCUACCUUUUCGUGGGGGAUAACGUAGGGAAACUUACGCUAAUACCGCAUACGACCUACGGGUGAAAGUGGGGGACCGCAAGGCCUCACGCGAUUAGAUGAGCCGAUGUCCGAUUAGCUAGUUGGCGGGGUAAUGGCCCACCAAGGCGACGAUCGGUAGCUGGUCUGAGAGGAUGAUCAGCCACACUGGAACUGAGACACGGUCCAGACUCCUACGGGAGGCAGCAGUGGGGAAUAUUGGACAAUGGGCGCAAGCCUGAUCCAGCCAUACCGCGUGGGUGAAGAAGGCCUUCGGGUUGUAAAGCCCUUUUGUUGGGAAAGAAAUCCUGUCGAUUAAUACUCGGAGGGGAUGACGGUACCCAAAGAAUAAGCACCGGCUAACUUCGUGCCAGCCGCCGCGGUAACAC
rnacentral:rRNA from 1 species